GACGAACGCUGGCGGCGCGCUUAACACAUGCAAGUCGAACGGAAAGGCCUGCUUUCCCUUGUGGAUUGCGGGUACUCGAGUGGCGAACGGGUGAGUAACACGUGAGUGAUCUGCCCCCAACUUGGGUAUAAGCCUGGGAAACUGGGUCUAAUUCCCGAUAGGACUGCAGGGUGGUGCCUGUGGUGGGAAACGAUUUUCUAGUGGUUGGGGAUGAGCUCGCGGCCUAUCAGCUUGUUGGUGGGGUAAUGGCCUACCAAGGCGGCGACGGGUAGCCGGCCUGAGAGGGUGGACGGCCACAUUGGGACUGAGAUACGGCCCAGACUCCUACGGGAGGCAGCAGUGGGGAAGAUUGCACAAUGGGCGGAAGCCUGAUGCAGCGACGCCGCGUGGGGGAUGACGGCCUUCGGGUUGUAAACUCCUUUCGACCGCGAGGAAGCCACCUGGUUGGAAGGGUGGUGACGGUAGUGGUAGAAGAAGCACCGGCUAACUACGUG
rnacentral:rRNA from 1 species